GAAAAGAAUCCAUUUUUAUUAUAAGUUUUGUUUGUGCGGAAAGAGGAGCGUUUUUCAGUGUGUGUUCGACAGACGCCACAUUAUUAAUUGUAAAUUAUUUAUUUAUUAAGUGAAUUCCCAACAAAAAGUUUAUUAUUAAAAUUUAAAGUAAAUUAAUUAGCAGAAAACAAAUUAUAAAAAGUACAUAUUAUAUUUAAUCUCCAUGCAUGUGAAUAUUUCUAUAUAUAUGUACACAUGUAAUCAAAAUAAGUGUGCUAAAACAGAAGAAAAGAAAAAAAUCAAAUCAAAUCCAAUCCAAUAAAUGUAAAAGAGCCGAGCCUUUUUGAGCAUACGAUAACGAUACGAAGAAUAAUCUUUUCUGUUUCAAUUGAGUGAAAUUAAUUAAUUGAUUGAAAUCACAAUUAUUUUAAUUUGUAGAAAAAUCUAUAAAUAUCUUAAAGAAAAAAAACUUUCUCUGUUGUAAAAAAAAAAAUAAAUUUUACAUUUAUUACAUAAAGAAAAGAGACAGAGAUAGAUUAGAAAGAGCUUUUUUCCUCAAAUCGUAAUCAAGUGCGACAGAGAAAAAGGAAAAGCAAAACAAGGAAUUAAAGCUUAGAAAAUAAAAUCCCUGAAAAGUGUUUUCUUUUUUAAUGUGUUUUGUGCUUGUGCAGUGCAAAAUAACGGAUUCUUUUUCCAGUUUCAUCUGCAAUUUUAAUUCUUCAAGACGACGGGGGUUUUUCAAAAGCAUAAAGACUUGCCGUCAUACCAUUUGAAGGAACUUAAGAUGUCAUAUAUCAAACAAAACUACUAAGCUUGACAUUUCAAAACAACAUGAAUGAACUUCUCAAAUAAAAAGGGGGUGCCAAUUAACUGCAGCACGUAUGCAGAAGGACAUAUUGAAGCCUUAAGAAGCACUCUUGGAAAUAAACAAGGUUCCAUGAUCAACUUUAAUCGUUCAUAAACUCUUCUUUCUGUAAAUGCUUUCAAUCAAUCUGUGAAAACUACGAAAGGUCAAUAUUGAGUUCCUAACCUACCGAAAUUGUGAUUGUCUUAAUGAUGUGACUUAUUGACAAUUUUGGCCAAUUGUCAUGUCUUUCAGGGAUAAUAUAAUCACGUAUAUGAGUACCAUGGAAAUAACCUUAAGGUGUCCUGGAAUAGACUUGUGGUCGAACUCUAUAAACUGAAAUAUGUAUUUGUAUAUGUGGACUCACUUCUUGUACUGAAUAUUUUUUUAACAUAAAUAUAAAAGUAAUAAUUUUACUAAACAAAAAUAUAACUUAACAAAACAAAGUAU